CACACCAGUGUGUAUAUAUAGAUAUGUGUGUGUGUGUAUAUAUAUGCUAUGUAGUGUGUGUUUUAUAACACACACUACAUAGCACAAUUACUUAUGGGGCUGCCAUAGAUUGUUUUCCAGGGCUGCUUCGUGUCCCCAGUCCGGCCCUGCCCACCUGCGAUCCCUGGCCCUGAAUGCCAGCAUUUCAAAAUUCGUGGCCUUUGAAAUGCUGUCAUUCCGUCUGGUGGAGAUGGACAGUUUUAAAAACCUGAUGGCGGUGUCUGUCCCACAGUACGUGAUUCCCAGCCGCCACUACCUUUCCAGGCGAGCCAUCCCUUCCCUGCACAACCAAUUGGUGGACAAAGUCAGGUGUGCACUGCGCAACUCCAUCAGUGGCAAGGUCCAUAUAACCACAGAUACGUGGACCAGUAAGCACGGGCAGGAACGCUAUAUCUCCCUAACUGCACACUGGGCAAAUGUAGUGGCAGCUGGGCCUAAUGCGGAUACGGCAUUUCUCUUUGCCUCCUGUUGCCUCCUCCUCCUACUCUGCUUUCGCCUCCUCUACCACCACCUCAUCCGGGCAGCAUAACACCUUCACCACCAACUUCAGCACAGCCAGGGGGAAACGACAGCAGGCUGUUUUAAAACUGAUAUGUUUGGGGGAAAAACCCCACACCGUGCAGGAGCUGUGGACGGGCAUGGAACAACAGACCGAUGAGUGGUUGUUGCCACUGAGCCUCAAGCCCGGCCUGGUGGUGUGCGAUAAUGGGUGAAAUCUCGUAGCAGCUCUGGGCCUAGCCGGUUUGCUGCACAUCCCUUGCCUGGUGCAUGUGCUGAAUUUGGUGGUGCAGAAAUUCCUGAAAAACUACCCAUAUAUAUCAGAGCUGCUGCAGAAAGUGCUGGCCAUCUGUGCGCGCUUUCGGCGUUCUCACCCUGCUGCUGCUCGCCUGUUUGUGCUGCAGCGUAACUUUGGCCUUCCCGCUCACUGCCUCAUAUGCGACGUGCCCACAAGGUGGAACUCCACCUUGCACAUGCUGAAGAGACUGUGCGAGCAGCAGCAGGUGAUAGUGGAGUUUCAGAUGCAGCACGCACGGGUCAGUCGCUCUGCAGAACAGCACCACUUCACCACCAAUGAGUGGGCCUCCAUGCGAGACCUGUGUGCCAUUUUGAACUGUUUUGAGUACUCCACCAACAUGGCCAGUGCUGAUGACGCCGUUCUCAGCCUUAAUAUCCCGCUUCUAUGUCUCCUUGAAAAAAACGCUGCGGGCGAUGAUGGAAGAGGAUGUGGCAGAGGAGGAAGAGGGGUCAUUUCCACAGUUAUCAGGCCAGUCAUUCACAAGUGGCUUGGCGGGUGGGUUCCUGCACCAGCAUAGGCCAGGUACACAAUUGUCCAGCCAGGACACAGUUCUGGAGGAUGAGGAGAAAGAAGAUGAGGAGGAGGAGGAGGAGGAACCGUGUUCACAGCAAGGUGGCACCCAACGCAGCUUGUGGGCAUCACUGGAGCGUGGCUGGCCCAGGGCCCCAAGCAGAGCCGGUGCUUCCUACAAGGCUGCAGCCACCUGAGCGCUCUAUAGCGAGCCUCAGGUGGCAGCAGUACUCCUCGUCAUCACCUCCCCUUCUCUGGCUGUAGCGUGGCCGAGCUCCUCUUCCUCUUGUCAGCCCGGCCGGGUACCGUGCGGUACAGGAGAUUCAGUUUCCUGUUCCCUGCUGGACUGACAGGAAGUGCACACUGGACUGACAGCCAGGAGGAAGAGAAGCUCGGCCACGCUACAGCCAGAGAAGGGAAGGUGAGAAGAAGA